GCGCGCAUAGCGCAGUGGUAGCGCGUCCGCUUUGCAAGCGGAAGGCCCGGCUUCAAUCCCCGGUGUGUCCA
rnacentral:tRNA from 1 species